UGGUAGUCAUUAACACAUGCAAGUCGAGCGGAAACGAGAAGUGCUUGCACUUCGGCGUCGAGCGGCGGACGGGUGAGUAAUGCUUGGGAAUAUGCCUUGAGGUGGGGGACAACAGUUCCAAACGACUGCUAAUACCGCAUAAUGUCUACGGACCAAAGGAGGGGAUCUUCGGACCUUUCGCCUUUAGAUUAGCCCAAGUGAGAUUAGCUAGAUGGUGGGGUAAUGGCCUACCAUGGCGACGAUCUCUAGCUGGUUUGAGAGGAUGAUCAGCCACACUGGUACUGAGACACGGCCCAGACUCCUACGGGAGGCAGCAGUGGGGAAUAUUGCACAAUGGGGGAAACCCUGAUGCACCCAUGCCGCGUGUGUGAAGAAGGCCUUCGGGUUGUAAAGCACUUUCAGUUGUGAGGAAAGGUAAGUAGUUAAUAACUGCUUGCUGUGACGUUAGCAACAGAAGAAGCACCGGCUAACUCCGUGCCAGCAGCCGCGGUAAUACGGAGGGUGCGAGCGUUAAUCGGAAUUACUGGGCGUAAAGCGUGCGUAGGCGGUUUGUUAAGCAAGAUGUGAAAGCCCAGGGCUCAACCUUGGAACUGCAUUUUGAACUGGCAAACUAGAGUUUUGUAGAGGGUGGUGGAAUUUCCAGUGUAGCGGUGAAAUGCGUAGAGAUUGGAAGGAACAUCAGUGGCGAAGGCGGCCACCUGGACAAAAACUGACGCUGAGGCUCG
rnacentral:rRNA from 1 species